rnacentral:lncRNA from 1 species
GGAUGAAAUCUAUUAAGAUUUUUUGAUAUUUAUAAAAUACAACUUCACCUUCUAUAGCCAGGUGCCUAGUGCAUUUUCAAAUAAGACAACAUGUAAUACAAUAAUUUUUAGCUCAAAUAUCAAGAAAAUUAUUAAUAUUUGGAUAAUAUUUUUGCAAAGGAUAGGUUUUUCUAUCAUCUCUACCUUCUUCACUUUUGUUUUUAAGAUGCUUAUUGAAUGACCAAGAUGCAAGAACAAACAAGUUUUGAAAAAAUAUCUAUUGAUACAAUGCUGCUUAUAGAUUUAUGUCCUCAAGUGUAAAUAUUGAUUGAUCUAUAUUUCAAAAAAAUAUUCUAUAUAAUUUCAGAGUAAAUGAAAAGUUGCACCAUUUAAUAAGAGUUUUGUUGCUAGAAUAAAGUAUCAACCAAAAUUAAGCACAACUCUA